rnacentral:lncRNA from 1 species
CAGCCACAGAACAGACACUUUCCCGGCUAUGCAGGGCUGGGCGUUGGGGUGGGGGGCUCACCUGGACCCUCCAAGGCAUCAGACUGUCCAACUGCUCAGUUUUCACAGGGACAAGAGCCUUGCUGAGGGUGAAGGGGGCUGCGAGUGCCCAGCAGGGCAGCCUGGGCAGGUUCUGCCUCCCACAGCUGUCCCACUCUCCGGAGCUGCCUCGGUGGCAGAUGGCGCUGUCCUGAAAGGGACCACAGUCUUCUCUUCCAUAUCAACUGGAGGCCAGGGAGCUGCUGGACCCCUAGGAGCCAGGUCCAACGGAUAGGGCUUCCUGGCUGCAGAGUUGCGGGGACUCAGAGGGGAAUGCUGACCAUAGAGGUGGACAGCCUCCGUCCUGCUGGGCCCGCCCUGACCUGGCAUCCACUGUCCACAUCCCUCCAUCUGCCCACCCCCAACCCUGGACAACAACCAGCACAGUGCAGCAUGGCCCUGCAGUGACACCAGCAGCAGAGAGGUCAGACCCAGCAUCCCCCAGCUCCUAAAGGGCCAGCAGGUCCCGGGAGCUGGGGGCAGGGCCUGGCUGUGGGGCCUCCAUGUCCUGGGGGCCAGGGAAGACCCUCCUUAGUCGGCAACCCCUGCAGACACAUCCCCUGGCCAGCACUUGGGGACCUCCCUGCCCCCGCCCCAUCCCCCUACCUUGCCUGCUGAGACACAGGGCUCCACGCGUCUCUCUCCUGGGUGGGGUGACUGUGACCUGACCUGUGAGGGGCCCUCAUCGUGUUGGGUUUUCCUGCCAGAAGCAGAAACCACAAAAUUACCUGGAACAUACACAGCCCCAAGUGACAGAUUCAAUUCAAUUCCACAAAUAUUGACCUCACGUCUAAUCCACUCGUCCUCUGGUGUCAGCUCCUUCCUGAGGGGCCCAGCCUGGCAGCCACAGAUCCCGUUUAAUUCCAGCCUGACAAUGUCACCAGCUCAUGGAACGGGAGCUGGGCUCAUCGAGGCCCUGGCAGGUGGGGCCAGAGCUGGGCUCUGAACUCUAUACCCACACCUACCACCAUGGAAAGUGCCAGGAAGCGGGGUGGGCAGGCAUGGUCAGCUGAGGGUCCAAGCCUGCCCCAGCGCACCAGGUGCCCGCCCUGGCUGCCUGACUUGGCAGCUAAUCUCUGUGGGGCCCUGGAGCUACAUGGUGACUUCAGCACAGGGACAUUUAUCAGAAAUGGAACUGAUGGAUUAAAGUGGAACCAGGUGAA